rnacentral:rRNA from 1 species
CCCCAUUGUAUCCGACCUCUUGUUGCCUCGGGGGCGACCCGGCCUUCGGGCGUCGGGGCCCCCGGUGGACCAUCAAACUCUGCAUCUUUGACGUCUGAGUAAAUAUUGAAUCAAUCAAAACUUUUAACAACGGAUCUCUUGGUUCUGGCAUCGAUGAAGAACGCAGCGAAAUGCGAUAAGUAAUGUGAAUUGCAGAAUUCAGUGAAUCAUCGAAUCUUUGAACGCACAUUGCGCCCCUUGGUAUUCCGAGGGGCAUGCCUGUUCGAGCGUCAUUUCACCACUCAAGCCUGGCUUGGUAUUGGGCGCCGCGGUUUGCCGCGCGCCUCAAAGUCUCCGGCUGAGCCAACUGUCUCUAAGCGUUGUGGUUCAAUCAUCCGCUUGCGAGAUCGAAGGCGACGGCCGUUAAACUUAUUCAAAGG